rnacentral:rRNA from 1 species
GACGAACGCUGGCGGCGUGCUUAACACGUGCAAGUCGAACGGAAAGGCCCUGCUUUUGUGGGGUGCUCGAGUGGCGAACGGGUGAGUAACACGUGAGUAACCUGCCCUUGACUUUGGGAUAACUUCAGGAAACUGGGGCUAAUACCGGAUAGGAGCUCCUGCUGCAUGGUGGGGGUUGGAAAGUUUCGGCGGUUGGGGAUGGACUCGCGGCUUAUCAGCUUGUUGGUGGGGUAGUGGCUUACCAAGGCUUUGACGGGUAGCCGGCCCGAGAGGGUGACCGGCCACAUUGGGACUGAGAUACGGCCCAGACUCUUACGGGAGGCAGCAGUGGGGAAUAUUGCACAAUGGGCGGAAGCCUGAUGCAGCAACGCCGCGUGCGGGAUGACGGCCUUCGGGUUGUAAACCGCUUUCGCCUGUGACGAAGCGUGAGUGACGGUAAUGGGUAAAGAAGCACCGGCUAACUACGUG